AAUUAAACUAAAAUUAAUGGUACCCAGGUAGUGGAUGAAUACCAGAAGAACUUUGGAGAAUCUUGGAGGACUGUACAGUCAGAUUCCACCCAACCAUGGCCCUAUUUGAAUGAAGCUCUAACCAAAUUUCAGGACCCUGCAGAAGCUGAUAAAUUGCUGAAAAUCCAGAGGGAGUUGGAUGAAACUAAGAUCAUUCUU